rnacentral:rRNA from 1 species
CCACGGGAGGCAGCAGUGGGGGAUAUUGCACAAUGGGGGGAACCCUGAUGCAGCGACGCCGCGUGGGUGAAGAAGCGCCUCGGCGCGUAAAGCCCUGUCAGCAGGGGAGAAAAUGACGGUACCUGAAGAAGAAGCCCCGGCUACCUACGUGCCAGCAGCCGCGGUAAUACGUAGGGGGCAAGCGUUAUCCGGAUUUACUGGGUGUAAAGGGGGCGCAGACGGCGAUGCAAGCCAGGAGUGAAAGCCCGGGGCCCAACCCCGGGACUGCUCUUGGAACUGCGUGGCUGGAGUGCAGGAGGGGCAGGCGGAAUUCCUGGUGUAGCGGUGAAAUGCGUAGAUAUCAGGAGGAACACCGGUGGCGAAGGCGGCCGGCUGGACUGCAACUGACGCUGAGGCCCGAAAGCGUGGGGAGCAAACAGGAUUAGAUACCCGAGUAGUC